rnacentral:rRNA from 1 species
UACGAAGGGGGCGAGCGUUGUUCGGAUUUACUGGGCGUAAGGGCGCGCAGGCGGCGCAUUUUGUCCGGCGUGAAAGCCCCGGGCUUAACCUGGGAACUGCGUUUGAUACGGAUGGGCUAGAGUUCGGGAGAGGAGAGUGGAAUUCCCAGUGUAGAGGUGAAAUUCGUAGAUAUUGGGAAGAACACCGGUGGCGAAGGCGGCUCUCUGGACCGAGACUGACGCUGAGGCGCGAAAGCGUGGGGAGCAAACAGG